GGGUAACGGGGAAUUAGGGUUCGAUUCCGGAGAGGGAGCCUGAGAAACGGCUACCACAUCUAAGGAAGGCAGCAGGCGCGCAAAUUACCCAAUCCUAAUACAGGGAGGUAGUGACAAGAAAUAACAAUACAGAGCCUUACGGUUUUGUAAUUGGAAUGAGUUAAGUAUAAACCCCUUAACAAGUAUCAAUUGGAGGGCAAGUCUGGUGCCAGCAGCCGCGGUAAUUCCAGCUCCAAUAGCGUAUAUUAAAGUUGUUGCAGUUAAAAAGCUCGUAGUUAAUUUUCUGUUAAUUUUUAUAUACAAUGCUACGGUAUUUAUAUAAUAUUAACAUAAUUCAUAUUACUUUUUAGUAUAUGAAACUUUACUUUGAGAAAAUUAGAGUGCUUAAAGCAGGCUAUUGCCUUGAAUACUCCAGCAUGGAAUAAUAUUAAGGAUUUUUAUUC
rnacentral:rRNA from 1 species